rnacentral:rRNA from 1 species
UACAGAGGGGGCAAGCGUUGUUCGGAAUUACUGGGCGUAAAGGGCGCGUAGGCGGCCUGUUAAGUCGGACGUGAAAUCCCUCGGCUCAACCGGGGAACUGCGUCCGAAACUGGCGGGCUUGAAUUCGGGAGAGGGAUGUGGAAUUCCAGGUGUAGCGGUGAAAUGCGUAGAUAUCAGGAAGAACACCCGUGGCGAAGGCGGCUCUCUGGGACGGUACUGACGCUGAGACGCGAAAGCGUGGGGAGCGAACAGG